CUUAGAAAAUCUAGUUAUUUUGUCAUCUACAAAGUGACCAUGGUCCUUGGCAUAUACUUAAUUUUUUAAAUAACUUAUUAAGAAAGUGAGAAAUGCAUUAGUCUAAUAAAUACUGAUAAAUACUCAAACAACUUUUAGUGAAUGUGUAAAUAGUUAAUGGUGCCAAAUGCAAUACUUUUUUUGGACAGUAAACAGUUACUAGACACAAGUGCAAAAUAACCUAGAGAAAAUUAAAUUGGUAAAAUGUUGUCACAGCCCCUGGUGCUUUUAUCGGCGUGGCCACGCCUAAUCACUGCUGUCACGCCAAUACAGUUACUGCACACGGUGAGCGUGGCUGCAUCUAUUGAAAGCGGUUGUGCCGAAUUGGGAAAUUAUUACUUACCUGGAUCGCGGUGGAUUGCUGCCCGAUCCUCUUCCCAGCUGGUGUUGAGUUCUAAGGGACGCCAGCCACUGCGGUCCAGAACUAUAUAAUUGUGUUCCUAUUGCCCAUAACAAAUAAGGUGCAAAUGUGUGUGUGACUUUGGCUUGUAUUUGACUUAACCUAUUUCUGGUAUCCCUGACUUUUGGCUGGUAUUACAUUUGUGUCUACUUCUGUAUUCCUGACCGUGUUGUGUUUAUUAACCUUUGUCUUGUACGUUAAGUCCGGCCAUUCAAAAAUAAUACCUUAUUAUUUUCACAGUUCUGCGUGUUGGGUCAUACAGUAGUCAUGACAAAUGUUCCUUUUUAGAAUUACUUAAUUAAAUUUUUUAUUACCG